UCUGAUUCGUGCAACAGAUGCAACGGGCGGAGCCGGAGGACGGACUUCACUACGCCAGCGUCCAGUAGUCCCAAAGGCGGAGGGCGCCCGCCGGCGCCGGACCGGCCGGCCGACCCGGAGAGGAAACCGAGGGAGAGGACGAGGCGGUCGUCUACGCCGCCGUGGCGUUUGGCGCCGCGGCCUCGAGAAGCCGAGGUCCGGAGGCUGCGGGGGACCCGGCCGGGUUCUACAGCACCGCCACCAGGACGAGAGAUCCCUAGUCUGUAACCUCCGUGUCUUUUAAAGACUAUUCCUCAGAAAUAGAACGUCUUAAUACUCAGAGACAUUCCUUCUGAGCCGCCAGAUGUUCGUGGAUUGGUGAAGAUACUUUGGAGCUCAAAUUAACAACAAAGCAACAACAACAAAAGCCCUUUUCAUUCUCUUCUAAUCUGUCAGUGCUCUGGUGUUUUUAUGAAGCCUAUACUUCCCAAUUGUGUUAAUAAAUAGAGUUUAUUUAUAGUCCAGACAUUAAUCUACAGCGGGCUUUUAUGAGCACGAGCUACGAGUUUGGCUACAACUUCCUGUUUGGGCAUCAUGUUACCAUGGAAACCAAAGGACGUGACGGAUGAGUUGAGUUAUUCACCCCUCCUUAGGUCAGAGUUCAAUAAGGAGAACUCACUCGUUUUAAUGAAAAAUACAUGUUCAAACUAUUUUUUAGGUACAUUGAAAAAAUCUAGAUCUAAAUUGCAUUCAUCUACCAUAACAUGUAUUUUCACCUAAAUUGUAUUUGCAUUUUGUCAUUUUUUUUCUUCAUGGGGUGAUGUAGAUAAAUAGGGAUGAGACACCUGUUCAGGGUCAUAAUGACCCGCCCACUCAAAAUCAAGCCAAAUGAGUCAUAAAGGAUAAGUAUUGAAAGUAAACUUUAGUUAUGUUUAUUCAUCGUGUUAAAGAUGACUAAAGAAUAGCUAGUCCACCUUAAAACUCAUCCCGCCUUAAGUGAGCCUGAGCGGAGACUUGAGACCUCAGAGCCGAGGCCGACUGCAGCUUGUUGAAGUUCAAAUGUAUUUUUUGAUUAAAGCCUGCUUUCAACAAU